rnacentral:rRNA from 1 species
AUGAACCUGUGGACGGACGACAACGCCUCCAUGAUGGAGGCCUUCAUGGCCUCCGCCGACAUGCCGGCCUUCCCCUGGGGCGCUGCGGCCACCCCGCCGCCGCCGGCCGCCGUGCCGCAGCAGCCGGCCUUCAACCAGGACACGCUGCAGCAGCGCCUGCAGGCCAUCAUCGAGGGCUCCAGGGAGACCUGGACCUACGCCAUCUUCUGGCAGUCCUCCACCGACGCCGGCGCCUCGCUCCUCGGCUGGGGCGACGGCUACUACAAGGGCUGCGACGACGCCGACAAGCGCCGCCAGCAGCCCACCCCGGCCUCCGCCGCCGAGCAGGAGCACCGCAAGCGCGUCCUCCGGGAGCUCAACUCGCUCAUAGCCGGGGGAGGCGCCGCCGCGCCCGACGAGGCCGUCGAGGAGGAGGUCACGGACACCGAGUGGUUCUUCCUCGUCUCCAUGACCCAGUCCUUCCCCAACGGGAUGGGCUUGCCGGGCCAGGCGCUCUUCGCCGGCCAGGCCACCUGGAUCGCCACGGGGCUCGCCAGCGCGCCCUGCGAGCGGGCCAGGCAGGCCUACACCUUCGGCCUCCGCACCAUGGUCUGCAUCCCCCUCGGCACCGGCGUGCUCGAGCUCGGCGCCACCGAGGUCAUCUUCCAGACCAACGAUAGCUUGGGGAGGAUCCGCUCGCUCUUCAACCUCAACGGCGGAGGAGGGGGCUCUGGAUCCUGGCCGCCCAUCGCGCCGCCGCCGCAGGAGGCGGAGACGGAUCCGUCCGUGCUCUGGCUCGCCGACGCGCCGGCCGGGGACAUGAAGGAGUCGCCGCCGUCCGUCGAGAUCUCCGUCUCCAAACCGCCGCCGCCACAACCGCCGCAGAUCCAUCACUUCGAGAACGGGAGCACCAGCACGCUCACGGAGAACCCCAGUCUCUCCGUGCACGCGCAGCAGCCUCCGCCCCAGCAGGCGGCUGCGGCGGCGCAGAGGCAGAACCAGCACCAGCAGCAGCUCCAGCAUCAGCACCAGCUCCAGCUCCAGCACCAGCACAACCAGGGUCCUUUCCGCCGGGAGCUCAAUUUCUCAGAUUUCGCGUCCAACGCAUCCGUCACGGUGACCCCGCCUUUCUUCAAGCCCGAGUCUGGUGAGAUCCUAAACUUUGGCGCUGACAGCACCAGCCGGAGGAACCCUUCGCCGGCGCCCCCCGCCGCGACGGCCAGCCUCACCACCGCGCCCGGGAGCCUAUUCUCCCAGCACACGGCGACUGUGACGGCCCCGUCAAACGACGCCAAGAACAACCCGAAGCGGUCCAUGGAGGCCACCUCCCGCGCGAGCAACACCAACCACCACCAGAACGCCACAGCCAACGAGGGGAUGCUGUCCUUCUCGUCGGCGCCGACGACGCGGCCGUCCACCGGCACGGGCGCGCCAGCCAAGUCGGAGUCCGACCACUCCGACCUGGAGGCGUCGGUCCGCGAGGUGGAGAGCAGCCGCGUGGUGCCUCCGCCGGAGGAGAAGCGGCCGCGCAAGCGCGGGCGCAAGCCGGCGAACGGGCGCGAGGAGCCCCUGAACCACGUGGAGGCGGAGCGGCAGCGGCGGGAGAAGCUGAACCAGCGGUUCUACGCCCUCCGCGCCGUGGUGCCCAACGUGUCCAAGAUGGACAAGGCCUCGCUGCUGGGCGACGCCAUCUCCUACAUCAACGAGCUCCGCGGCAAGAUGACGGCGCUGGAGUCGGACAAGGAGACGCUCCACUCCCAAAUCGAGGCGCUCAAGAAGGAGCGCGACGCCCGGCCGGCCGCGCCGUCGUCGGGGAUGCACGACAACGGGGCGCGGUGCCACGCGGUCGAGAUCGAGGCCAAGAUCCUGGGGCUGGAGGCGAUGAUCCGCGUGCAGUGCCACAAGCGCAACCACCCGGCGGCGAAGCUGAUGACGGCGCUGCGGGAGCUGGACCUGGACGUGUACCACGCCAGCGUGUCCGUGGUGAAGGACAUCAUGAUCCAGCAGGUGGCGGUGAAGAUGGCCACCCGGGUCUACUCCCAGGACCAGCUCAACGCGGCGCUCUACGGCCGCCUCGCCGAGCCGGGCACCGCGAUGCAAAUCCGGUAA